AGUGAACGCUGGCGGUAGGCCUAACACAUGCAAGUCGAACGGCAGCACAGUAAGAGCUUGCUCUUACGGGUGGCGAGUGGCGGACGGGUGAGGAAUACAUCGGAAUCUACUUUUUCGUGGGGGAUAACGUAGGGAAACUUACGCUAAUACCGCAUACGACCUACGGGUGAAAGUAGGGGAUCUUCGGACCUUGCGCGAUUGAAUGAGCCGAUGUCGGAUUAGCUAGUUGGCGGGGUAAAGGCCCACCAAGGCGACGAUCCGUAGCUGGUCUGAGAGGAUGAUCAGCCACACUGGAACUGAGACACGGUCCAGACACCUACGGGAGGCAGCAGUGGGGAAUAUUGGACAAUGGACGCAAGCCUGAUCCAGCCAUACCGCGUGGGUGAAGAAGGCCUUCGGGUUGUAAAGCCCUUUUGUUGGGAAAGAAAAGCAGCAGGUUAAUACCCCGCUGUUCUGACGGUACCCAAAGAAUAAGCACCGGCUAACUUCGUG
rnacentral:rRNA from 1 species